rnacentral:lncRNA from 1 species
GAAGAGGCUUCCAGGUUGGUGUGACAACAGAUUCAUAGCCAGGCCCUAGGUCUCUAAGAAGAGAAGGGGAAAAAAAAAAAAACUUUGUUGUGCAUUCGAAGCUCUUUCUCCGGAUAAGAUGCUCACCAUUGGGAAUUUUGAGCAAAGAAAUUCUGUUGAGGCUUUCCAGACCUAGGGUUUAUAUGCCAUGUCCAAAGAAUAGCCCAAGCGUCUCUUCGGACAAGGCCCCCGUGAGCCACCCUUGAGGGAGUCCAUCUGAUCUCCGCCACGCUUUGUAGCUUGGACGUAUGGUCUGUUUGCUGGUGGAGCUUCCACCUUCUUGGAGUUCCAGGAACUUCUUUGGCAUAGAAAAUGAUCGAUCAAUGGCACCAUCAUACGUACCUCCAGAUUUUCCAAUAAUUUGGAUUUUCCAAUAGUGAUAUUUUAGGUCGGCUGCAUAAGACAGAAUUUCCAACUGCAAAUGGAAUAAUUGUAGAGGAAUUGGAGAGUUGGGAAGAAGGAAUGCAGGGUGAAGAUCAAAGAUUACAGCAGGAUCGAAGCACUCAAAGUGCAAGCUUCUGAUACGAUGAAGAAAUUGAGAGUAUGGCUAUGAAUCACCUUAUCGAAAGGUGGUCAUGCUGUUAUGUAUCUUAUUACUGUAUAAAUUAAGGAUUGAGUUUCCUUAUAAGC